rnacentral:tRNA from 1 species
AGACUGGUAAGUUAAGUUAAACUGUGGGGUUCAUGUCUCCAUUUUACACUUAUUAGAGUGUCUGGUUGA